rnacentral:rRNA from 1 species
UACAGAGGUCUCAAGCGUUGUUCGGAUUCAUUGGGCGUAAAGGGUGCGUAGGCGGCGCGGUAAGUCGGGUGUGAAAUCUCGGAGCUUAACUCCGAAACUGCAUUCGAUACUGCCGUGCUUGAGGACUGGAGAGGAGACUGGAAUUUACGGUGUAGCGGUGAAAUGCGUAGAUAUCGUAAGGAAGACCAGUGGCGAAGGCAGCUCGCUGGGACGUGACUGACGCUGAGACGCGAAAGCGUGGGGAGCAAACAGG